rnacentral:rRNA from 1 species
GACGUAGGGCGCGAGCGUUGUCCGGAUUUAUUGGGCGUAAAGAGCUCGUAGGCGGCUUGUCGCGUCGAAUGUGAAAUCUCAGGGCUCAACUCUGACAUUGCAUUCGAUACGGGCAGGCUCGAGUUCGGUAGGGGAGACUGGAAUUCCUGGUGUAGCGGUGAAAUGCGCAGAUAUCAGGAAGAACACCCGUGGCUAAGGCGGCUCUCUAGUACGGUACUGACGCUGAGACGCGAAAGCGUGGGGAGCGAACAGG